UGCAGUCGAACGAUGAAGCCCUUCGGGGUGGAUUAGUGGCGAACGGGUGAGUAACACGUGGGCAAUCUGCCCUUCACUCUGGGACAAGCCCUGGAAACGGGGUCUAAUACCGGAUAACACUUCCGUCCUCCUGGACGGUGGUUAAAAGCUCCGGCGGUGAAGGAUGAGCCCGCGGCCUAUCAGCUUGUUGGUGAGGUAAUGGCUCACCAAGGCGACGACGGGUAGCCGGCCUGAGAGGGCGACCGGCCACACUGGGACUGAGACACGGCCCAGACUCCUACGGGAGGCAGCAGUGGGGAAUAUUGCACAAUGGGCGAAAGCCUGAUGCAGCGACGCCGCGUGAGGGAUGACGGCCUUCGGGUUGUAAACCUCUUUCAGCAGGGAAGAAGCGAAAGUGACGGUACCUGCAGAAGAAGCGCCGGCUAACUACGUGCCAGCAGCCGCGGUAAUACGUAGGGCGCAAGCGUUGUCCGGAAUUAUUGGGCGUAAAGAGCUCGUAGGCGGCUUGUCACGUCGGUUGUGAAAGCCCGGGGCUUAACCCCGGGUCUGCAGUCGAUACGGGCAGGCUAGAGUGUGGUAGGGGAGAUCGGAAUUCCUGGUGUAGCGGUGAAAUGCGCAGAUAUCAGGAGGAACACCGGUGGCGAAGGCGGAUCUCUGGGCCAUUACUGACGCUGAGGAGCGAAAGCGUGGGGAGCGAACAGGAUUAGAUACCCUGGUAGUCCACGCCGUAAACGGUGGGAACUAGGUGUUGGCGACAUUCCACGUCGUCGGUGCCGCAGCUAACGCAUUAAGUUCCCCGCCUGGGGAGUACGGCCGCAAGGCUAAAACUCAAAGGAAUUGAC
rnacentral:rRNA from 1 species